AGGGUCAAAGUAAUAAUUCGGCUCUAUUUUGAAGAUAAGAAAAAGGUAGUUAUUUUUACUGAUGUGAUAAUUUAAAAAAAUAUAUGAAUAAUUAUUGUAUUUAUAAAAAAUCAGACCAUUUUGUAAAAAAUUAUUACAAAGCUAAAAAAGAAAUGAAGAGAAUAAAAAUAAUCUUGUAAUAACUUUGAUAGAGAUGACUAUGCUUUCAUGGCAAGUGAAGGAGCCUCCAUAGCUGUCAUGUCCAAGUGGAUUAUAAAUUUAGAUACUAUUGAAUACCGAACACUAUAUGAAUACUUAUUUGAUACUUAUAAAAAAAUUCCAACAACAAAAGUUUGAUUUCGAGACAAUAGCAUGAUACAAGCUAUUGAAAUUGGCUCCAUUGUAGUAGAGAUUGUAAUAAAGAAUCAAACUAAGAGGAUCAAAUUGAAGAAAGUCUUAUAUGUGCCAAAGAUAAAGAAGAACCUUUUUUUGGUUAGCAAACUUAUAUCACAAGGUUGUAAGGUUCAAUUUGAGAUGAAUGGGAGUUUUGUGAAGAUAUUAGGUGAUGAAAAUGUUGCCAAAGGUCUUAGAGAUGGCAACCUCUACUUUAUUAAUUGUAAGAUAGUUAAUAGAUUUGAAGUAGCAAUAUCUAUUGAGUUUCAACAAGAUUAAGAGAAGUUUGAGAUUUGGCAUCAAUAACUUAAUCAUUUGAAUGUAUAAAACAUAAAAAAAUUCUAAUUUAUCGUAAGUAACUUAGAUUUUAGUUAAUUUAGCUUUAAUAUCAUACCACUUACUUUUAAAAGUUGUAUAGAAGGCAAAUAACAAAGUUGCAAUAAGUACUGAGAAAUUCUUAGAGAUUGAGCAUUUUGAUAUUUGUAGACCAAUGAAGAUACUAUCAAUUGAAGGAAAAAGAUACUUGGUUACAUUUAUUGAUGAUUUUUCAAGAAAGAUAUGGAUUUACAUCUUUAAAGCCAAGAGUGAGUAUUUUUUAAGGUUUAAAGAAUAUAAAGUACUUGUAAAGAAUGAAUGUGAAUGUAAGAUCAAAGUAUUGUGCAUAUAUAAUGGAUGCAAUAGGGGCAAUAUGGCUAAGAUAACUUUUGAGGACAUUGAAGUAGUGCAAAAAGAAGCAACUCCAAUAAAGUGUGAUAAUCAAGAAUGUCUUCUAUUUGUAAAGAAUCCAAAGCACCAUUCAAGGAUUAAGCACAUUGAUAUUUAACAUCAUUUUAUAAGAAAGAAGAUUGAAAUGGGAGUAAUUGGCAUGAAGUAUUAUACAAUAGAAGACAUGCUUAAUGAUUUAUUAACAAAGGCAUUAAUAAAAGAUAGACAUCACAUAUUGAUAAAGGCAUUAGGAUUGAAAGUCCUUGACUAAUAGCAAAAUAAAAGUAUUAAAAUAAAUAAAUAAAUAUAAAAAUAAAAUAAAUUAUCUUAUAAAAAAUAUUAUCUUAGAUAAAUUAAUAAUGGUCAAAAGAUUAGAUCUUGAAAUGUAAAAAGGCCAAGAAACAAGAUAGAUGAAUGGACAAAGAAUCUUAAGGAUAUAUAAGAUAUGUUAAAAAUAUAUCUUUAUAAUAAACAAGAUAUCAAUGGAUAGUCUUGAUAGAAUGUUAGAUGGAUGUAUUCAUCAAAGGAUUGAAGUUAUUUAUUAAAGAAACAACCACCACCUAUAAAUAAUGAACAAUGGAAGUAAAAAUUACCUUACUCCAUCUUUUCUUUAUAUAUAAUUUUACUAAUGUUAAGUAUUGUGACUUCAAUUUUUUUUUCUUCAAUAACAAGAGUAUAUUAAUCUUUUAGUUUUUUGAAAUUCAUAUCAUUAAUAGUUUGACAAGAAUACUAACUUAUUGUCCUUAUUUUGUAUUAGAAAUAAGUAGAUGUCAAGCAUAUGAACUGAAAGAUAAUGCAUAAAUCAAUGAAAUUCAUGUCAAAGAAAAAGUAAAAAAAUAGAAAUAAGAAAGUAUGUAUAUUAAAAAGAAACUAGAAUGGCUUGUUGCCAAAAGACAAAAAAAACUUGAGACUCUUGAAAUUAGAUUAGAAGCAAGAAAUGAAUUGAUAAGAGUGAAUUGGACUUCAUUUUUAUUUCUAUAUAUACUAUCUAACUAAGGACUACAUGGUGAUGUUCUAUAGGACCUCUAAUAUGUAUUGACUUUGUAGGAUACAUGCCUUAAUUUAUAAGGUAAGUUUUUUUAUAUGUUUGCCACAUAGUUAGCUUAUUCUUCAAGCUACCAAUAUAUGUGAUACAUGGUUAACUUUUUGACCAAGUUUCUAACUUAAAAAUCAACAAUGGACACCUAUAAAGUCAAAGCAACGUCUAUAAAGCUUCUAGAAAGCUUUUUCAAAAGAUAUUCUAGAAUAAAAUUAUUUUUAUCUACUUCUAUCUACUUCUACUUAUUUAUAGAAGUAAUUAUUGGCUUACAUGUGUAUGUCCGUGAUAUUACUCUACCUUCUAGGAAUGAGUUCUACGAGGAGUGAUCAUCAUAUGUUGAAAAAAUCUAUGAUGCAACAAAUUAUAUUUGUCACAUACUUAGAUCUUUGUUCUCUUUGAAGAUGGUUGAUAAGGCUUCUCAACCAUUGAUAGUGUUCCAUAUCAAGGCAAAAAGACCACCCUAUUAUUUGGUCAUUAUUGGGACUUUUAUAACUUCCUUCAAAUAAAACAUUUGGGACACCGUCGAGAGUAUUUUCUACCUCUAAUAAAAUUUUCAAACAUCGGGAGUCUCUUCUAAGGUCAUGAUACCAAACGCAUUGUAUCUUCCAUCUAUUUGAGGAAAAACAUGUCGUUCUUGAGGAUCUUCAUCUCAAUUGCUUCAUCUUAAAGGUUGUGGCAAUUGCAAUGUCUCAUCCAAUAGAUCAGCAAACAAAGGCUCUUUAGUCAAAUCUGCUGAUUCUUGGUUCUCCAUCUCGUCAACGUCACAACUACAAAGAAGCUACAAAUAAGGAUUGAAAAUAAAAUAUUAUGUUGCCUAGAUCUUUUUUCUUUUAUAGGGAAGGUCUUCAUGUUGAUUUUGAUGGAUAUUAUUGAUAAAAAGCCUCCAUCUUCUUUAUUAAAUUUAUAAGAUUCUUUAGUAGCUCCCAUGUGUAUUCACUAAUAUUAUAUUUGUACCAAUGAAAAAUAUAUUCCAACUUACUUUGGCACCACCUUGAGUCUAAAACUUCUUUUAUUUUAAAUUCUUUAUUAUUAUCCACUUCAAUAGGAAGAGGUAGUAUUUGUCUUCUUCUUGGUAUGUCCAUUAUCUUGUAUAGUUCAAGAAGAGACACAUGGAAUAUUGGAUGGAUUUUCAUUGACUCUAGUAGGUAUAAAUAAUAUGCAAUUGGAUUGAUUUGUGUAAAACUAGGAAAUAGUUAAAGCCUAUGAUAGUCCAACUUGUCAUAAAGAUAAGUAGUCUUGAUAUUGUGACAAAGUAACCAUACCUUGUCACACACGUAAAAUGAUCAUUGUUCCUUUCGAUAGAUAUUCUCAUUAAUCUUUUAUUGUUCUUAAGCUCCUUUUAAUUGCACCUUCAUCGUUGCAUGUAGCUCUGAUAAACAAUUUACCAAAUCUUUUGCCGUAAGAUUAUCACCUUUUAAAAAGUCAAAAGUAUCAAGUCAUGGAUGAUAACCAUAAUUGAAAAAGAAAGGUAUUUUUUUUAUAGAAGAAUAUAGUGAAUUAUUAUAAGAAAUUCUACCAAUGGCAAAAAAAUUAUCCAAUCAUCUUAUUGGUAGUUGAUGGUAUAUCUUAAAUAAUGCUCCAAAAUUUAAUUAACACACUCAGUUUGUUUAUCAGUUGAUGAUGGAAUAUUAAAGAUAAUUUUACAUCUAGUUUUAGAAUCUUAAAAAGAGUUUGUAAAAAUCUUGAUACAAACUGAGUUCUCAUAUCUGAUAUGAUAUCUUUGAGUAAUCCAUGAUAACAAUAGAUGUUGUUAAGAAAGAAUUUAGCUAUUUCUUCAUGUGUGAUAGAUUUUGUACAUGGUAUAAAAUAUGCCAUCUUAAUAAAAUGAUCUACUAUCACAAAUAUAGAGUCAUAAGAACCUGAGAUUAGAAGAUCUGUGAUGAAAUCCAUAGAAACAGAAGACCAUGAUUAUUUUAGAAUGGAUAAUGGUUGAAGAAGUCCAUAAGCUCGAUGACGAGGAGUUUUUGAUCUUGAACAAAUGUCGUAUAAUUGAACAAAGUCUUUCACACCCUUUCAUAUUUGUGACCACCAAAAAUCUUUAGAUAUAAGCUCUAAAGUCUUAUUGUAUCCAAAAUGUUGUGCUACUGGAAAGUUGUAACGUGCUUGAAGAAUAUAUAAUCUUGCUUCUCUUUUUUGAACAUAUAAUCGACCUUUGAAAUAAAGUAGGUUAUUUUUGAACUCAAACUUAGAAGUAUCUUAGAACUUAGAAGAAAGAUUCUUGAUAUUAAGAAUAAGAAGAUCAGAAGACAUACUUGAUUGGACUUAUUUCAUAACGGUGGAAUCAACAAUCAAUGUUGAUUUUAUUACUCAAAGUUGAAAAUACUCUAUUUUCAACAAAAUUAUUCUUUAUUGAUCAAAAGAUACAUCUCUUUUUUUUGGUACAAGAUAAGAAUAUCUAGAAAGGAUAUCUGACAAAUCUUCUUAUUUUUUGGAUCGAUAUGUAAUCUUGAAAUCAAAUCUUGAUAAAAACAUGCUCUAAUAGGCUUGACAAUGAUUCAAAAUACUUGCUAACAUAAAGUACUUAAGAUUCUUGUGGUCCGUAUACAUGGUGACUAGAUUGAAAGUGCCUUCUAGAUGAUGACACCAUUUUUAAAAUGAAUCCAUAUUUAGAAGAAGCUCUUUGUCAUGGAUUUUAUAAUUAAUCUUAAUUAUUAAAAAAAAUUUGGAAUGAAAAGCUACUUAGUGAAGUUUAUCAUUUAUUCUUAUUUGUAACAAUACGACAUCCAAAGCAAAGUUUGAUGCAUUUGUUUCCAUAAAAUAUGUCUUAAAAAAGUCAAAAAGAUACAAGAUUGGAGCACAAAUAAAAAUUGGCUUCAAAGCUUCAAAAGAUGCUUCAACUUCUCUGCUCCACUUAAGUUUGUCUUUGCAAGUCAAACAUAUAAGUAGAGCUACAACUCAAGAAAAGUCUUUGAUAAAGAUCCAAUAAUAGUUGGCAAAGCCUAAAAAGCAUUAAACAUCUCUUAUCAUUUUUAGAAUCUUCUAAUUCAUAAUCAUUUGAAAUGAUGUAUCUUAAAAAGUUGACUAAAAUAGUAUGGAAUACACACUUUUCUAUCUUGGCAUAGAAUCCAGCAUCUCUUAAUUUUUGUAACACAUAAAAAAUAUAAAGUUCAUGUUCAUCUGUGUUCUUGGAAUACAUCAAGAUGUUAUUCAAAUAACAGAUAACAAAAUCGUCCAAAAAUUCUUGAAAAAUAUUAUUUAUUAAAUAUUGAAAAGCUAUCAAUGAAUUUGUAAGUCCAAAAGGCAUGACGUUGCAUUCAAAAUGUAUAUAUAUAGUUCAAAAUAUAAUCUUUCAUUCAUCUUUUUCUUUAAUACAUACUAGAUUGUAUGCUCUCCAUAGAUCUAUUUUUGUAUAGAUCUAUUUUUGUAUAGAUCUUAGCUUGAUUCAAUUGAUUGAGAAGUCUAGAUAUCAAAGGUAGAGGAUACCUAUUCUUAAUGGUGAUCUUAUUGAGUUCUCAAUAAUUAAUAUACAUCCACAAUGAUCCAUCUUUCUUCUUUACAAUUAAGAUUGGAGCUCUUGUUGAUAAUUUGGAAUGUCGUAUAAAAUUCUUGGCCACAUUUACUUCAUUAUAUUCUUUAAGUUCAACCAAUUUAUUUCAUAACAAACUAUAGAUUGGUCCAAAUGGCGGUGUUCUCCUUCUUAAAGGUCAAUUGAGCAAUCAUAGGGAUGAUGUUCUAGAAGAAUAUUUGCAUUCUUUUUUUCAAAUAUAUCUUGAAAUUCUUGAUAUUGGCUUACAAUGCCACUUGAAGUCUUUGCAUCAUUAGAAAUAGGUGUGGCAUAAAUAAGACAAGGUGAUCCUUCUUUUGCAAUAUGUAAAAAAGCUCUCACACCUACAAAUACAAGUUUUAUUAUCCUAAACUUAUGACUUUUUACUAAAUUAAUUUCACUCUUAGUUAUACAUUUAGAAAAGUCAAGAAUAUGAGAAAUCCAAUCUAUACAAGGAUUAUACUUUUUUAACCACAAUAAAUCUAAAAUGACUAGAUUGAAAGAAGAUCUAAUUAUAUUAAAGAUUACGCAACUAUUAUGAUCAUUUAUUACUACAUCUAUAGAAAGUGUUUUAUGAAUAACAUCUCUAAAAGAUAACAGAUGACCAUCUAUGAUUUCUAUAUGAACAAGGUUAGUUUUUUGUAUUAAUGGUAUUUUAUAACUUUUAACAAAUUUUACAUUUAAGAAACAAGGUGAGGCUCAUGAAUCUAUUAAGGUGGAGGCUUUAUAACUAUUAGGUCUUAAAUGCACAUCUAUUAUAAAACAAAAAGAGGGUUUUGAGGAGAGGAUAGGACUUUCAUUAGAAAUUGUAUAAGAUUCCAAUCGCAUGGUCCCUAUUAUAGUUGAACAAAUUUUUUUUCUAGUACAUUGUCUUUUUUGACAAUUGUGCUCUUCAUUUUUUGAUUUUUUUACUUCUUUAGAAAAUGUUGAGCAGUAUGUUUAGGUUCUCCACAAUAUAAAUACAAUCCUUUUUGAUAGCAAUGAGUCUUUUUUUACUCGAUAAGAGGUUUAAAACAUACUACAUCAAAUUCUAUAUCCUCUAAUUUUGAAUGUAUGUGUUGAGGAUAUGUUGGUAUUGCCAUUGAAUUGUAGUAAUAUUGAGGCCCACUUGUUCAACUCAUAGAUCAAAAAUCAAAAAUUCGAUUGUUGUACUUUACAACAAAGUCAAUUACUUGAUUCAAUGUUUGAAGAUCAUAUAAGUUGAGCAUGAAUUUCUUUACUUCAUAUUAUAAUCCAUAGAAAAAUUGGUUAAUAAGUGCAACAUCAUCUCACUUGAUAUCAUUUGUAAGUUGUCAAAAUUAUGAAGCAUGUAAUGUGAAGGAGGCUUCACUCUUAUUUCUAUAUAUACUAUCUAAUUAGGGACUAUAUGGCAAUAUUCUAUAAGACCUUGAAUAUGUCUUGACUUUGUAGGAUGCAUGCCUUGACUUAUAAGGCAAGUUUUUCUAUAUGUUUGCUAUAUAAUUAGCUUGUUCUUCAAGCUACCAACAUGUGUGGUACAUGGUUAAUUUAUUGACUAAGUUUCUAUCCUAAAAGUCAACAAUGGAUACCUAUAAAAUCAAAAAAACAUCUAUAAAGCUUCUAAGAAGCUUUCUUAAAAGAUAAUAUAAAAUUAACUUACUUUUACCUAUUUCUAUCUACUUUUAUUUAUUUAUAUAGGUAAUUAUUAACUUACAUGUGUAUGUUAGUGACAAUAGAUUACUUCAUUUCUAUUAUUGUGUUUUGAAGGUUUCGGACUAUCUAUCUUUAAAUUCACUUUUAGUUUUUUAAUAUUCAUUAUUUUUCUUAAAGAGAGAGGACUAUUUUUCUUUAAAAAAACUUUUAUUUGAUAUUACAAGUUGCAAAUUACUUUCUUCAAAUUAAAGAGAUUAUAGAUGCUACUUUUACCAAAAGUGAAAAUAGAUUUACAACUAUUUUAGAUCUUUAUAUGCUUGUCAAUACUUUGAAGAUAGAAAUCUCACAUAUUUCUAAUGCCAAUCAUGGAGGUAGUAGUUUGAUACCUAUAAAAGAAGUCUACAAUGAAGUUCAAAGUCUAUGCAAAGAAAUUAUAUAAUUGAGAGAAGCAAGUAAAUCAAACUUACAACCAAAUCAAAGAAGUUUUGUUAUUCCAAGUAUGAGAGAGAUAAGGAUAAAUAUGCUUAAAAAGUUUGAUGUAAGAAGAUCAAAAUUUUGAAGAUAUCUACAAUAAAUAAAGCUCUAUCCAAAGUUGCAUCCUUUUCAAUACUCUAAUCGAUUUACUCAAGUUGGAUUCAUAGAUGUUAUUCUUUGUAAGAAUGUUCUUUCUUAAUUUGUACCUUUGAUGGAAAAAGUUUCAUGUCUUUUAUAUAAUUUGAAUUCAUUCUUAGAAGUAUUUAUGGCUACUUUUGGAGAAAGUGAUUAAAAAAGGAUAGUAGAGACCAAACUUAUAUUUUUACAAUAAGGAUCACAUUCAACCAAUAUAUAUAUUAUAAAAUUCCAAAUUCUUGCUUGCAAUAUAUAUUAGAAUGAUAAAGCCCUUGUCAAUCAAUUUUUUUAUAGAUUGAAAGAUAAUAUCAAAGAUUUUCUAUUGAUGACAUCUAGAGCAAGUUUAUUAAAGGAAUUUAUUUCUAUAGCCAUUAUAUAUAAUAAUUAAUUCUUUGAAAGAUGUUAAGAAUAAAGAUUUAAUUAAAGAUAUAUAAAUUAAGCUAUACCAAUAGCUUCUAAGUUUAAAAAAGUUUAUUCACGAAGACCAAAACCUAUACAAAUUGACAUGAUAUGUUUUAAGUCUCUUCUUGAAUAAAAAAAAUUUGAUGUCAUCAAGAAAAUUUAUACUUAUAUUGUAAAGAACCUAAAUAUAUUGCUCAAUAUUAUCUAAAGAAACAACAUAACUACAAAAUUGAGAAUAUGGUUAUCAAAGAAGAUGAUUUGUUAUAAAAUAAAUUUCUCCAACUACAAUAAAGAUUGUACGAGUAGAAUCUUGCAAAAUACCUAGUAAAGGUCUUAUUAUCUUCUGAAAUCCCUCUUAAUAUUUUAUAAUAGAAAUUUAUUUCGAAUCAAAAAAUCACAAAGUCUAUGUCUUACUAGAUUUAAGAACCUUAGCUUAUUUUAUAGGCAAAGCCUUUAUUAAAAAAUAAUAAAUAUCUUUAAUCAAGAAAAAUAGACAUGUACAUGUGAAAGGCAUAGGUAGUCAUUUUUUGUCUUUUAGAGAUGUUAAUCAUAAAACAAUUCAUUUAAAUAUAGCAACUAAAGAUCAUAAUAGCUUAAUAAUAUUUAAUAUUAUUAGAUCUCCAUUUAAUCUACUUAUUUGAAGAUUGUUGUAGUUAGAGAAGCAUAAUCCUCAAAUAAACUAGACUUCUUAAAAUCUAAAAUUUCUUUAUAAUUAAAUCCAAGAUCUUGCUAGUUGAGUAAAAAUUUAUAAGUCCAGUACAAUCAAAUCUUUGUUAUUAGGUGCAAGAGCUUUGAUACAUGCAAUAAAAAAAAGAUCAAUUUUUGCUAUAUUUUCUACAUCUAUUUUUAAUAGAAAAAAACUUCAAAUGGCAUUUUAAGCUAGUACCAAGAUUAUCAAGACAUUUUCAAGAAAAAAAAUAUAGCUAUUCUUUUAAAGCAUUGUCUCUAUGACUGUUCUGUUGAUCUUUAAGAUGGAACUCAACUACUAUUUGGACCAAUUUAUAAUUUAUCACAAAAUAAGUUGGUUGCACUCAAUAAAUAUAUUAAUGAAAACUUAGCUAAAAACUUUAUAUGCCAUUCUAAAUUUCCAAUAGGAACUCCUAUCUUAUUUGUAAAGAAGGUCCAAACUAUGAUAGAUUAGAAGAUUUCAAAAAUAGUCAAAGAAGUCUAAUUUUUUUUAGAAUUUAUCAAUUAUUAUCAAAUCUUCAUCAAGAAUUUUUUUCAAGUUGAAGCUCUUCUUACAUGUUUGAAAUAUAAUGACAAAUUUAAGUGGAAUAAAGAAGCUGAAAUAUCUUUUGAAGUCUUGAAGCUAAUAUUUAUUUUUGCAUCAAUCUUAUAUUUUGUCAAUCUUUCUAAGGCAUUUUUUUAUAGAAAUUGAUGCAUCAAAUUUUACUAUAGAUGUAUUAUUGUCACAAAUAGACAUAGAUGAUAAGUUCUAUUUGAUAGCUUUCUAUUCCAAGAAAUUUUUAAAAAUCAAAUUAAAUUACAAGAUUGAAGGCAAAGAGCUACUUACAAUCGUGGAUUCAUUUUAAAAAUAGUGUCAUUAUCUAAAUGAUCCUUUUAGUUUAGCCACCAUAUAUAUGGAUCACAAGAACCUCAAGUACUUCAUGUUGGCAUGUGAUUUGAAUUGCUGCCAAGCAUAUUGGAGCAUAUUUUUAUGAAGAUUUGAUUUUAAGAUCACUUAAUGAUCCAAAAAAUAAUAAGGUUUAUCAAAUAUUGUUUCAAAAAAUUCUUAUCUUAUAUCCAAAGAAUCAAAUGCAUCAAAAUAAGUAUUUAUUGUAGCUUUAGUUAGAACGUCUAAUAAAUAUUCUUCUUCAUUGUUAUCUUCUAUUAUAUUAGUAAAAGUUUCUUUUUUUUUUUAAUUAAAAAAUCAUUUAUUUUAUUUUAUUUUUUAGAUUUAUUGCAUAAUACUUUCAAAAAUAAUAUUUAAAUUUUUCAUAUUUGUAGCAAGUGAUAUAUAUUUUUUUAAUCACUAUUUCAAAGAUGUGUCUUACUAUUGAAUUUACACCUUUCUGUUGUAAAAAUAUAAAAUAAAUAAAUAAAUAAAUUUCUAUUUUUUUUAAUGGAUUUUUCUAUUCAAACAAUAAAUCUAUAGUAGACUCUUAAAAGCAUAGUUUUGAUAUCAUGUUGGUAUAAAAAAGUAUUUACUUUAGCAUAUAUUAAUGAUAUAAUAUUCUAUAUAAUAUCAAUGAUUAUUAAUAUAGAUUUUUUUAAAGACAAAUAUAUAAUAACUUCAUCUAAUAAAGAGGAAUAAAACUCUAAUUACCUCAAUCUAAGGAAUAAGUGGAUACACAUGAUUUUAAUCCCAAUUCUAAAGAAUGAAUAAGUAGAGGAUGACAAUAUACUAAUAGAUGUAUAGGCAAAUAAAAAUCACAUCAAAAAAUAAGAGACCACAAAAAGAAUCUAUAUGAAAAAUGAAACAAAUCAAUUUUAUUAUUUGUCAUCAUAAAUUGCCUCUCAAUUGCUUAUUAAUUUAAUAUAUUGCUACUAGUCUCAAUAUGGAAUUGUUAUUAUAAGCUCAAGGAAUUCCAGAUAGGAUGAAGCAUUGGUCACAAAUAAAAAAAUAAAAAUAUUAUAUAUACUCUCAAACAUAUUGAAAUAUCAAAAAUAUCCAUGUAUUUUUGGUAAUAGCAAAUAUAUCCCCUACUUUUGUGAUGAUAUCAAAUCUAUCCUUGAAUGUAAUAAGUUAUAAUAAUUAUUUAUUUUUUAGAUGCAAUUGAGGCCUAAACCAUAUAUUGCAUUGUCAUAAUAAAGAGAGUUUUGCUUCAAGAAAGCAUUGAGCUUCUAGCAGGCACUAAUUACUCAAACAAGUUGUAAGUUUAUAAAAUACAAAUCUUAUUUGUAGCUUGUCUUCAUGAAGAUAAUUAUAUCAAAUGUACAAGUCUUGGAUGCACAAGAGUCUCCAAGAUGUGAUUAGAUAUCCUAAAACUACUUCUAUUCUUAUAGAGAUUCCUUCCAAAUUUGUAUUAUCCAAUAACUUCCAAUCUAAUCAUUCAAUUGAAUUAAAAAAAAUUUACAACUUAACUUAUAUCUUUAACUACUUCUACAAAAAUAAUCAACUAUAGAUUCAUUACAGAUCUUUAGUUAUUACCUAAUUUCUAGUAGAAGCUAAACAUAUUAAUUUUUAGAUAUUUACACACUAAAUCUACUAUUUUUCAAAAAUCUAAUACUUAAAUAAUAUGAUAUUUUAUAUAUAGAUUUUUAACAUACUUAUCUAUAUUUUUAGAAAUUUUGAGCCAAAAAUUCAUCUAAAAAUUCAAGAUGUGGUUCAAACUAAAACCUUUAUUAAAAGAAUUUACUUAAAAAUUUUAAUUUUGAAGCUUUGACUUCAAAUAGAUCUAUUUUCUUUGUUCCAAAUCGGAAUUUAUCAAUAUCUUUGUAUAAAAUAUAAUUCUUUAAGUCAACUUUUGAACGUCACUUUUAAAUCUCCAAAAGAUCUCAAAUAACUCCUUUUAUUCAAAAAAGGUGGUAGUAGGUAUAAUUUUAAGAUCCUAACUUCAAGCAUCCAUUUCUCUGUCAAUAAAAAGUCCAAAUUUCUUAAUUUUUAUACAAAAAUUAUAGUCCUCAAUAUAAGCUAAUAAAUCCUAAUGUUUGAACUUAAAGUGGUGACCUUAAAGAGGCCUAAAAUUCCAAUAUGGUCUCCAAAAACAUCUUGAAGUCCAUUGGACAUGACCUUCAACCAAUGAGAAUGAAGUCCUCCAUUAAUUUGUCUUAUUCAUCCACAUAGAAUGGCCUAGAAGUCAAAAUAUUAUAUCCUUGAUAUCAAAGCCUCUCUAAAAUCUUUAUCAAUAAAUCCUAAAAUUUAUAUUUUUAAUUAAAAAACUUAAAUAAAUAAAAUAAAUAUUUUAUUUAUUUAUUUAUUUAAUUUUUAAUUUUUUUAAUUACAAUCCAAACUUUCAUAAUAUUUCAUAUUAUUUUUACAUAUUAUGCUACUUUCUACUAUAAUAGCACAAAAUUUAGCUACUCAUAUCAAAGUCAUCUAAUAUUAAAUCCAAUUCCAAGCCAAACAAUUGAGUGCUAAAGUUGUACAAACUAUUUGACAUUAGCCUCAUUGUUCUUGCUACAUGCAAUUAGUUUACUAUAAAAUGAAGAAAUUCUUUAAAAAAUGGAAUAAACUAAAGCCUAUUUAGCAUGAAAACUACUCAAUUGUAUGUAGCUUUAUCUAAAUAUAAUUUCAUUGCAUAAAAACUCUAACUCUCGCCAAUUUUCUAAGAAUGAUGCUCAAGAAGAGAUGUUAAACACGAAAUGUAUAGAGCAUGAUGUUAGUCUGACUUUUCUUAUUGUUAUUGAAGAUUAUGAGAGAUUCAGUCUUUACAUCAAAGUGGGUGCCUACAAAUCAAGCAUUUUGUAGUCAUGCUAAAUUAUCAUUAUUAUUUAAAAAGAUGUCAACACCGUACAAACAUUUGUAUAAGACAUCUACAUAGCUACUACCACCGCACCUUCUUCCUUCCUUCCUUCACUUUAAACUCUGUAAAGUAAUAUCAUAUUACGUGAAGUCUGCUUGAAAAUGUACUAAACACUUGACUUUAGAAGGAAAAAUAGAACUUAUAAUAAAAUGACUUUAACAAUUUUAAUAGAAUCUUAAACAAAAUUUAAUUAAAUUAUAAAAAUAUUAAUUAUUCUUUGAUUAAAUCCAAAAGAAAUUUCAAGAACUUACAAAAGAAACAUAAAGAAAUUAUAAAUUAAUCUUAAUAAAAUAUAUAAAAUUACAACAAUCUUAAAGAAAUAUCAAAAAUAGUAAUUUUAAUUAAAUCCUAAUCAAAUCUUAAUAAGACCCUCAAAAAAUAUUAAAAAAAUCUUAAUUCAAUCUCAAUCAAAAUUAAAUAAAAUUCAAAAUUUUAAAUAAUCUUAAUUAAAUUGUAAAUUUUUUUUAAUGAAAUCUUAAAUAAAACUUAAUCAAAUUCUAAAUAAAUCCUAAUCAAAUCCUUAGUAAAUCCUAAUCAAAUUCUAAAUCCUAAUCUUAGAUUAAAUUCCAAUGAAAUCUUAAAUUCUAUUCAAAUCUUAUUAAAUCCUAUCAAAUUCUUAAAAAAAAUCCUAAUAAAAUCUUAAUUCCUAAUCCUAGCCAAAUCUUAAUAAUGUCCUAGAUCUUAAAUAAUUCCAAGUAAAUUUCAAUUAAUUACUAUAAUUAUUUGAAUCCUUAAUAAAUAUUAAUUGAAAAAUAAGUCUUGACUAAAAUUUCACCUAAGUUUCAAUCAACAAGCAGUUAAUACGUACACAAAAUUUGAAAAGAAUCUAACUUAUUAAUUGAAAGGAAAGCUCCCAAAAUCUAUUAUUCAUUGAUUGUAUUCCUUUUUUGACUUGAAUAUUGAUCUUUUAAUACUAAUUUCUCCUUUUUAAAUUAUUUAAUUGCUUCAAAAAUCAAAUUUUGUAUUGAUAUUUUAGUUUGAAUUGCUCUCAAUAAAUUUUUCUUCAAUCCAAUUUACACAUAUUGCUAAAUCUCAAAUUUUUGGAACCAUAAUCCACAAUAGCCCUUAUUUUUUCAAUCAAACUACUUGAUUGACCUCAAAUUUUUCAUACACAUUUAUAAUAAGCACAACAAUAAAUUACUAAAAUUUUUAUUAUAUCCAUACUAUGAAACUUACAAACUUCUAAAAUUAAUAGACCUAUUUUUAUUUUUCAAAAUCUAAAUCCUCUAAGUACAUCAUUAAUUUUGAAAAUCCUUCAAAUUUUUAAUAUUAAUCCAAAUAAUAUAAAACUAAUACUCAAAAAUCUCUUUUUAAGUUUUCUUUCGAAUCUAAGUCUUUGAUUUGUAAAAAAAACCUUGGAAUCGCUCUAGGUACUUAUUUUGUGCCUUAAAAUUUGAUUUUGAUCCUAGUUAGCAACUGGUCCUCUUCAAAAAUUAAUUCUUAUUUUCUUGAGGUAAUUUUUGCUAAAAUCAAUUCCUAACUUCUUCUUAUAUAUGUCUAUAUUUUAUUUCUCUAAUCUACAUUUUUUUGCCUUAUUUAUGGUUUAACAAAGUAAAUAAAGUCUAUUUCCAUAAAAGAUAGUUCUAACACUAAUAGAUUUUAUUAUUUGCCUAUCAUUUAUUUAUAUUUUAUAUUAUAUAUUUUUAAUUAGGCUCUUCUAUAAUAAUAAUUUUUUUUUUCUUUUUUUACCUAAUAGCCGUGUUACUACACAAAAUCCAUCUUCCUUAAACUUGUGCAUCUUCUAAUAUAUACCAAUGAUUCUUUAAUUUGUUGAUGUAAGAUAUUUUUUAUCUUGGUCAAAUUCUUGAUCUUCAAUGUGUACUUCCAUUCCUAUUUCAAUUUUAUUUAAUAAAUUUUAUUCUUCACCAAAAUAUGUAUAUAUACCUCUUUGUGUAAAUAAUUUGACUCAUUUUUUGAUAAUAGGCAUCUUUAAUUAUACUUCAAUCUAACAAUUUGAUUGACAUCAAAAUUUGUAUAUACAUUUAAAACCAAUAUGUCAAUAUAUUUUCCAAAUUUCACCCACAUAUAUACCACGAAAUUCAAAAAAUCCUCAAAUUUAAAAACAUAUUUUUAUUUCUCAAAUCUUCAUCCUAUAAAGAAUAUUACUAACUUUGAAAAUUCCUCAAAAUCUCAAUAUUGAUUCAAAUGGCAUGAAAAAAAGCAUAAAAAUCUCUUUUCUUAUUUUCUUUCAAAUUCUACUCUUUGAUCUAUAAAAUAAUUUUGGAAUUUCCGUAUAGAUGUGGUUUUGUGCCUCAAGAUCUGAUUUCAAUCUUGGUUUACAACUGAUCCUCUUUGGAUAUCAAUUUUUUGUAAUUUGAGGUAAGUUUUACUUUAACCAAUGAUUAAUUCUUUCUUGAACAUAUCUACAUCAAUUUCUUAUCUCAUUUACUUUGAUUUGGCUUAUUUAUGCCUCUACAAAAUAAAUAGUAUUCCCUUCUAUAAAACAUAGCAUCAAAACUAAAUCUUUUAUUACCUUUUUAUUAUUUAACCUUAUUUUUUUAUUAUAUAUUUCUACUAGGCUCUUUUAUAAUAACAUCUAUAUUUUUAUUUUUCACUAUAUAAUCAUAUUACUACACAACAACAUUUUAUUAAAUCUUUUUUUAUUUUUUUGUCUUGCUUCUUUCAACCUUUUGGCUGUUACUUCAAUAUCCUCAAAUCUUUUUUUUAAUUUUUGAAUCCAUAAUACUAAAAACUCAUCUCUAUUAAGAUCAUUUCUUUAAAGCUAUAUUUUUCAUAUAUGCAUUGUUUCUUCUACUGGCAUAAUUGAUUUUUGUUUGUAUAUUAACUCAAAAAGUAUAUUACCAAUCAUCAUACUAUGAGUGGUGUGGUCUAUCUAUAAUGCAAAUAGUAGUAGCUUAGGCCAUUGAUAUAUUUUUCUAUUACAUAUUUUUACUAAUGCUUUAAAAAUAUGUGAAUGUUCUUGCUCAUUCUUCCUAUUCUCUUUUAGAUUAUAUGUUAUUUUUAAAAAAGAUAUAAUUUCCAUUCUACUAAAGAAUUCUCUUAUUUAUUUUACAUCCAAUUUUCCUCUAUCUACAAUGUUUUUUCCAAUACAACCAUAGAAAAAAAUAAUGUCUUCUAGAAAAAAUCAACAUACACUUUUAGUACUUUUUAUUCUUAAUAGUCAUCUUUCAACCAUAUUUGAUAAAUCUUCUUAUGCAAGUAUUAAAUAUUUCAUUUGUCCAAGUCCUAUAGAAAUUUCUAUUAAAUCUACUAUCAACUUAUAAUAUAGUACUAAAAGAUAACUUUGAUGUAAUCUAUUCCAAUAUCAAAAGUGAGAAUAAACUUGACAAACUUCAUAUGAUUCUAAAAAAUUUGCCAUGUCUUUGAAUAUGUCCUUCCAUCAGUAUUUUUUCUUCAAUUUUUUUAAAAAAAAUCAAAUUCUUCUAUAUCCUACCUAUAAACUUUCAUGAAAUUCUUUAAUAAUCUUUUGUUGAGCUUUUAAACCACAUAUCAUCUAUUGUGGCAUUUUAUUUUCUCUUCUUUGGAUGUUUCCAUAAAUAUCCAUCAUAUAAGAAAUGUCCAUAAGCUUUCUUUUGGAUUUUUUUUUAAAAAAAAUCUAUUCAACUUUCUUAUUGCUUUAAUAUGUUUAAAUACUUUCUAACAUCUUUUUAUUUACCUUUAUAUAAAUCUUUCAAAAAUAUUUCUAAUAAUAUAUUCAAAUAUACAUCUUUUCUUUUUAAUAAUGUAUUAAUGUGAAAUUUUAUAUCCAUGUUAUUUUCUAAAUCAAUCAUAUUUUUUUCAUUAUAAUAUCUUACUAUUAAUAAUAUAUCUGUGAUUAAUUUUUUUUCCUAUAGUGUGCUUAAAUUUUAGAUUCAUAAGUUUGAUAUUAUGCUAUCCACCUUAAUACAGCAAUAUCAAGAGUUGAACAACUUAUAAUGAUGUUCAAUAAAGGUAGACAAUCUAUUUCUAUAAUUAUUGAUACAUCAAUGAAGUAUUCUUUUUUAUUUUUCAUAGCUAUUAUUACAUUCCAUAACUUUCUUUGAUUUGUGUAUAUGCCUUUUGUCUAUCAUUCAAAACUUUACUCCAAAUCUUAUUAUGUAUCUAUUUCUUUGUUUAUCAUCUUAUCCAACUACCUAACUUAUUCUAAUUGGAUUUACAUCAACUACUAAUAUCAUUGGCCUUUCACAUUCAUAAUUUACUUUCUUAAAAGUUGGAGGUAAAGAAAGAAGUCUUUCAAUUUUUUCAUAGUUUUUUUUUUCUUCAUUCUAUUGAAAUUUUUUAUUCUUUUUUAAUAAUUCAUAUAAUAAAUUUUCUACAUGUGCAAAAAGAAAUACCCAUAUAUGAUAGAAAAUUCAUGCUUCUAAAAACCUUCUAACUUCCAUUAUAUUUGUAUAUUUUUUUAUCUUUUUAAUAAUAUUAAUAUUUUUUAUAUUUAACUUGCAUCCAUAUAAUCUAUACAUAUAUCUUACGACCAAAACUUCUUUUACUCCAAAUAUUGAUUUUGCCUCCAAUAAGAUUAAAUGAAUUUCUUCUAAUCUUGCCAAAAUCUUCUAUCAUCAAUAUGAUUUGCCACAAACUUCCUACAUUCUUUUGAAUCUAAUGUCUUAUCUUUUUUUUCUUCUUCACAUUCUUUAAUUGGCACAUCAUUUAAAAAAGAUAUUAUUAUUUUUAAAAUAUAAUCUUUUAAUAUCUUAUGUAUUUAAUUCAUUAUGCAUGCAAUAGAAUUUAUAGCCCCUUAUAGUAAUAUAUACAUUUUGACCAAUUCUAAUGAUGUCUUUAUAGUUUUCAAAUUUCUACUUUGUAUUACCAAUUAAAAUUGAUCAUAUCUUGAAUGAAGUUCUUCCAUAGAAUAAAUUCCUUUCCUUAUAAAUACCUUUGUAAAUUCAUCUACAAUUGAGCUUAAAUUCAUAUAAUUAAUUGUUAUUUUAUUUAUCAAUUAUAUAUCUUAAAUAAAUUUCAAUGCCUUAUUUUUCUUAAAUAUUAUAAAUUACUAAUUGAAAUAAAGUGUAAUAGAUGGUUGUAAAAUUUUCAUCCUAAUCUUUUUAUUAAGUAAUUCAAUUAGAUUUGGCAAAUAGGCCUUUGAAAUUAGAAUUGGCUUCAAAUUCUAUAAUUCAUAUGGAAUUGUGAAAAUAACCAUAGAUACUAUAAUAUUUAGAUUGAUGCACUUUAUUUCAUGUAAUUCAAAUACAAAUGCCUUAUCAUGUCAUAAAAGCAUUUUUUUAAACAUCUCUCUUCAUUUCUUAUCAAAAAAUUCUCACAUCCAACUUUCAAACUAUCUAAUAUCAGUUCAUCCUUGAAUUCAAUAUCUUUUUUUCUUUGAAUCUCUUAAAUUGGGUUGCAUAGAAGCCUCAACUAUUUCCUCAAAAUUCAAUGGUAGUAGCAAUGCUACUAAUUUGAUCUUCUUUGCAAUGAUCUUAUAUUUUGUAUUUACCUUUAUUUUAUACUUAUCCAUAUUUUCUUUCAUUCCAUCAUAAAAUUGCUUAAAAUAUAAAUUUAUUAUCUUAUCACUACUUUCAAAAACUAAAUCCAAUAACAUUUAUAAAUUAUCCAUAGUAUCACCAAAAAAAGUUUUUUCAAAUAUCCUUGAUAUGUAUUUAUCUUUUUCAAUCAUUCUACAUUUCUUCAAUUCAUGCUUCAUAUUUUUGACAUUUUUUAUUCUUAUUUUUCUAAAACUAUUUAUAUAUAUCUAUCUCUUCAUAAUCCUAUAAUAGCCUCAUUUCUUGUACUAAGCAAGAAUCCAUCAUCCCUUCUACUAUUGUAAUACCGCUUUACAAUGGUUUUUAGUAAACAUCCUUUAAGUCAUCAAGAUCUUCAAAUUCUUUCAAUAUCCUUGACAAAAGAUUCUCCCUCAAAUUAUCACAAUUUCUUUCAUGAUUUAUACAAAUUGUUAAAAAUUUCAAAACUUUCUUUCUAUCUUGACUUCUUAUCCUUGUAUAAGCCAAACCAUCAUCCAUAAUCUUUGUUUUUAUUUGUAUGGCAUUACUAUAUAAUUAUUUCAAUAUAAAAAGAUAUGUGGACAUAUCUUAUACAAAGAAAUUUUAUUCAUAACUAACAUCUCAUAUUGUCACUUUAAGAUUUGGACAAGCUUCAUAUAAAUCUCCCUUUGAAUUAUUUGUCAAUCUUAUCAUCUAUCCAUGUUCAAUAUUAAUAGGUCAAUUUUUUAUUUUGUAUAAUUUUUUGAUAACAAAUUGAUUUCAAAAUCAAGAUCAAUUAAUAUUAUAUUUGAUUCUUUUAACUCUUUCAAUUUUAUUAAUAAAUUUGAAGUAGCCCUUGCCUAUUGAUUUCAAGAAUAAUAACUAGAAGCUGGAAUCACAUCUUCUUCUUUUGUAAAUCAAAUUCACAAAACAUCUCCAAACUUUUGUAUCUCAUCCUUUUUAUCUACACUACUUCUUAUUGCUUUUGCUCCUUAUAUAUUUGAUGUUAUAGUAUCUCCUAUAGAUUGCUUUUUUUUUCUUUAUUAGUUUAAUAAUGAUUUCAUGAAAUUCAUGCUUUGUAAUUUUUAGAAUUUUAUUAAUUAUAAUUUUAACCUUUUCUCCUAAAACAUUUUCUUCUAAUAUCUUCUUCAAAUUUGUAGUAGCUUCAAAAUUUGAUUGUAAUUUAUAAGCAAGAGCCUUUGUUUUAUUUUGUUUUGUUUUUUUUUUUUUUUUUUUUUUUUUUUUUUUUGACAAUUUUUUGUUUAUUAGAAAAAAAAUUCCCUUUUUCUUCUUUAUUCAAAAAAUUCCUUUCUUAUCAUGAUUUUUUUUCCCCUUAUAAUUCUUUUUGAUGGCCCUUCAUUAUUUUCAUCUCUCCUUUAUUUUUCUUCUAUUAAUGCUUCAUAUUGACUCUUUGUAAUAUGAACAUGAAUCAAUAAUCCGUCUAUUGGAUUAUUUCACUUAAUAAUUUUUUAAAUUUUAUUACCAAUAUAUUUUUUAAUUAUCUCUAGUAAUUAUUUUUUUUUAGCAUAACUCAUAACACUUGAUUAAAAAGAAUUAAAUUAUCUUAGAAAGUCAAGUUUUAUGAUUAAACAUUUGCUAGGAUUUUCUUCCACUUAAUAUAUUGAUACUUCAUUGCUUGAGAUUUUAAAUGCUUCUUUUAUAAGCAUCUUCAUUCUUCUAUUAUCAAAAUUUGUCUCUAAUUUUUUUCCACUCUUUUAAGUAUAUCAUACUAUCUUUGAAAAAAAGUAAUACCUUUGCCCAAUGCCUCUAUAAAAUCUUUGCAUUCCCUUGAAUGAUCUAUGCUAUUACACCACAUGCACCUAUGUAUUAUAUCUUCCAUUGGUCCCGAUUUUUGUCUUGUUGAUAUUCUUAAUGUUUGAUUCUUCUCCUAAAGUUUUGCAAAUUUUAUUUGCAAAUCUCUCAUCCCUCAUAUGAUUUCACCAAAGUCCAUUUUUUCUUUCUUUGAUGUAACCAUUAAAGUUUGAAUUAUAGACAUAGGAUGGUUAAUAGGCAUUUUUACUUUAGAUGUUUGCAAUGGUCUUUGAAUACCCACUCUAUCCUUUGUUCUUUUUUUCUUUGCAAGCAACCUUAUUGCUUCUUCUACUUCCUUCCAACUCUCUCAAUAAUUAUAUUACUUGAAGAUCCUUCUUAAGUCUUCUAAUCCACUUUAAAAAUGAUUUUUUUUUAAUUCAAUUACUAUAUUUUAAGAAAAAUACAUCCUUCAAUGCUUAAAAUAAAUUCUCUCAUAAACUUCCAGAAUAUCCUAUAAUGAAUUUUUUCGGAUUUUUUAUCUUUAAUGAAAAGGCUAAUUGAAAUAAUUGAAUUAUGUCCUUUUCAAAAAUGUGCUUCAAUUCUAUUGUUUUCAUAUAAUAUCUUAAAUACUUUAUAAUAUUCUUUUUUUUAAAAUGAUUGAUCUUGAUCACAACCACUUGUAAUAUUUUAAUUUUCUAUAUCCUCUUUAUAAUCUUUAACUUAUUGUUAUUGCAUGUAUAGAGUAAAAACCUCAAAUAUUUUUAUAGAAUUGAAUCAAAAUAUAUAUCUUAUCCUCUUCUUGUUCUCUACUUCCAACUCUACUUGAAGCACCAAUUGAAGUAUCAUCCAAAGCCUUUUCUUCCAUUCUCUUGCCUUCCUAUUUUAUAAUUCAAAUAAACCAAAAAAAAAUAAAUACCUUCUAUUUUAAGAAUUUUAUGUCAGAUUUAUUAAAUUAUGUUAUAAUAUGUGAAGUUGUUUGAGAAUGUAUUAGAUACUUGAUUGUGAAAGGAAAAAUUAAACUUAUAACAAGAUGACCCUAACAACUCUAAUAGUAUCCUGAAAAAAAUUUAAUUAAAUUAAAACAAUAUUAAUUAAUCUUUAAUUAAAUCCAAAAGAAGUUUUAAGAACUUACAAAAGAAACAUAUAGAAAUCAUAAAUUCAUCUCAAUAAAAUAUAUAUAUAUAUAUAUAUAUAUAUAGUAAAAAAAUCCUAAAAAAUAUUUAAAAUAAUAAUCUUAAUAGAAUCUUGAUAAAUUCUUAAUACAACUUUCAACAAAUUCUAAUAAAAUUUUAAAUAAAUUUCUAUCAAAUAUUUAAAAAAUCCUAAAUCUUAAAUCCUAAAAUCUUCAUAUUUAUUGAGGUUUCAAAUAGUUAUAGUAAUUGAUUGAAAUUUAUUUGAGAUUAUUUAGGAUUUAAGAUUUUAUUAAAGUUAGGCUAGGAUUAGGAUUUAGGAUUUUUUUAUAAUUUGAUUAAGGUUUGUUUAAAAUUUGAUAGGAUUUGAUUGGAAUUUGAGAUUUCAUUAGAAUUUGAUGUAAAGUUAAGUUUUAAGAUUUUUUUAGAAUUUUUUUAGGAUUUGAUUAAAAAAUUUUAGAAUUUGAUUAAGAUUUGCUAGAUCUCAUAAUUACUUAUUGACCCUAAGUCUAAAAUUUUUGAGACCAUACCCUACAAAAACCCUCAUUAACUUCAAUCAAAUUGCUCAAUUGACCUCAAAUUUUUCAUAUACAUUUACAACAAGUACAACAAAAAAUUGCCAAAAUUUUUAUUUGUAUACAUAUACUAUGAAACUCAAAAAAUCCUAAAAUUAAUAAACCUAUUUUUAUUUCUCAAAAUCUAAACCCUCUAAAUACAUCAUUAACUUUAAAAAUCUCCCAAAUUUUCAGUAUUAAUCCAAAAAAAUAUAAAACUAAUAUUCAAAAAUAUCUUUUCAAAAUUGCUUUCAAAUCUAACUCUUUUAUUUAUAAAAAAACCUUGGAGUUUCCAUAAGUACUCAAUUUGUGCCUUGAAAUCUGAUUUUGAUUUAGGUUGGCAACUAGUCCUCUCCAAGUAUCAAUUCUUCUCUUGUUGAGGCAAUUUUUACUAAAAUAAAUCCCUACUUUCCUCUUAUAUAUGUCUAUAUACUUUAUAUUUCUAAUCUAUCUUAUUUUAUUAUAUUUAUAGCUAAAUAAAGUAAAUCAAAUCUAAUAUUAUAAAAAUUAGUUCUAAUACUAAUUGAUUUUAUUACUUACCUAUCAUUUAUUUAAAUUUUUUAUUAUAUAUUUUUUAUUAGGUUCUUUUAUAAAAAAAAUCCUUUCUUUUUAUACUUAAUUGUCAUAAUUACUAUACAACAGUAUAGAUCAUUUCAUCUUUUCUAUCAUUAUGAAUGUACACUAUCAAUAAGCUAAGAUAUUUAAGCUGAUUUUAUAAGAAAAUGCAAGACAAAAGAAUUCUUGAUCCUUAGUAGUUGAUUUCACAUUGUAGAAUGGCAUUAUUAUGUUGUAACAUAAUUAUAUGGUAAAAAUAUAAUCAAAAAUAAAUUUUUAAUUUAAUCAUCUUAUUUCAAUAGUAAUUCAAGACAUUAAAACAUGGCUUUUAUAAAUGCAUGUUAGUUUAUUUUCUUGUCUUAAUAGCUAGUAGUUGAAAGGUUGAUUAGUAAUUUUACCUUUUACUAUGUAAAAUUUCUUUUAAUGCCUUAAAAAGGCCAUAAAUUAAUAAAAAUAAGAUAGAAGAGGUACAUAAUUAGUAUGGUUGAUAAUAGGAUUAAGUUGAGGAUAGAGUCGGACUAAAAAACCCUAGAGAUAGGUUGGAUUGAUACAUAAGGGUCAACUAUUUGUGAGAUAGGAUCAAAGUGAAAUCUUUAGCUACUAAAAUUACUACCUAGGACAUAGUAAAGAGGUAUUUAAAAUUAAAAAAUUAGAGUUCAUGACCUAACUUCAAGCUUAUUUUAAAAGUAUAAGGCUUAUUUUCAUAGAUUUUCGAAUGACUUUAUAAUUGCUGUUCAAAGUCAAGGUUUGUAUGAGUGACUUGGAAUUUAUACAAUACAAUUAGAGCUAGCACUCUUGAUUCGUUUGUCCAAUUGGUAUCACAUCUAUAGCUCAAAACUUGAUAUUAUUUAGUUGAUUGAAUAUGCUAUGCAUGUGUAAAGUUUUGUAUUAAUCUAAUCUAAUAAUAAAAUUGAGAGAUAUCUAGGUUUUGGUACAACAGGAUAUCAAAAGUUGGCAAUUUGAUAUUAGAUAGGAUUUCUAUGAUAUUUGAAGAUUCUUUUAUUAGAUUAAGGUGAAAUUUGGCAUAGUAAUAGAAGACUUUAAGGUCAAGCUAUAUACUAAUUUUGAAUUGAAAUUAAUAGUUGAAGAAAGAAAAAUCUCUAUUGGAACAUUUGCAUCAACUUUCAAGUUAAUAGUCAAGUAACAUUAGUACAGUUUUUGGACUUUUUCUCACAAUUUUUAAGUUAGAUUGGACUAAAUUUUUCUAAGCAUAUAGAAGACUUAUAGUGGUAGUUGGAUGCAAAAUUUUUCACUAAUUGGAUAAUCAAAUUAGGAGUUACAACUUACCAAAGCUCAUUGACUAGGAUUAAGGCUUAUAAAGAGAAAUUAAAAUUGCAUAAUUAUAAAAGUAAUAAGGCAAUUGGAACUUACAUAUAAUUGAGGUCAUUAAGAAGAUUAUAUUUGAGCAUUUUUUAUUGGCUUUAAGCACUUUUGAAUUAAAAGUCAAAUUGUAUUCUUCUUAUAUAGUUCAAACCUAUUAUGGUUUCUUCAAUAUUUACAAAACACAACUUCACCUUCCAUAGGCAGGUACUUGGUGCAUUUCCAAACAAGACAACCCAUAUUAUGACAACAUAAUUAAUGAUCCAAAAAUAUAUUGGAUAUCUAGUUGUAGAAAAUUUAGCUUUGAUUUAUUAACCAAGCUCUAAUAAGUGAUAUAUUCUUAUUAUAGAAAAUAAAUAAAUAUAAAAAUAUUAAAAGAUAUUCUAUUGAUAAAACCUUUUAUAUUUAAUAAGAUUUAUACAAAAGGCUUUGUAGAGUAUGAAAAAAUUCUCUAACAUACUUAUAUCAUAAUUUUAUUAGAGCUUCAUAUCUCCAUCUUUAAUAUAUGUAUAGAGUCUUAGCUCUCAAAAAUUCCUAUUUUUUGCAUAAAAUACUCAAAUUAUAUCAAAAUUCUUUUAAAAAAUAUUUUUUUCUUCAAAAUAUUAUUUCUUUCUAAAUUUUAGAAUUUCAUAUCUCUUGAUCUAAAUAUUUAUUUAUUUUUUAAAAUUUUUAGAUAAUAUAGCAUUUAUUCUAAAGUUUUAUUACAAAAAAAUUAAAUUAUAAAUUUAUUAUAGAUUAUAUGGCAUCUUAGAAACUCUAGCAUGUAUUCUAAAUCUCAAUUAAUAAGUAUUUCAAUACUAUUUUAUUAUAUCUUAAAAAUCCAAAAUUCAAAUAAUUUAAAAUUUAAUAUGCACCUUUGAAAUAUAAUAAUACAUAUUUAUAUGAACUUUUAGCCAAAGAUUCAUCCAACUGCUCAAGAUAUAACAAGAACCAAAUCCCUUAUGAAAUUGGUUCACCAGCAAACCUCAACUUCAAAUCUUUUGCUUUUUAUAUGCAAAACGUAGCUCUUUAAACUAACUUUCUAAUUGCACAAUCCAAUCUUCAAAAUUCCUUCAUAGACAUGCUCUAUGCUCUAAAAAAUGAUAGUAGGUAUGAAAUCAACACCUUGACUUUAAGAACCUAUAUCUCUUUCAUAAAAACUCCAAAUCAUAUAAAAUUUAUACCAAAAUUAUAUUCAAAAUCUUAAACUUGAUAAUUCCUAAUUUUUGAUGUUUGAAUGUCUUUGAAAGAAUAACCCUAAUUCCUAACAAGGCCUUGAGUAACCUCCUUGAAGCCUAUUGGACAUGACUUUUGGCUAAUAAGAAUAGAAAAUUUUAUCAUCUAUCUCUAUUCAUCUAUAUAGAUAGCCUAACUAUCCUUUUUUAUAUAAAAAUCCUUCUUUAAUUUUUUUCUUAGUAAAGUUUAUAUAAUAUGUGCUCUAACUACUAAAUAAAAGAAAUAAAAUAAGAUUUUAAGAAUCACCAAUAUUUAAUAAAGGUGGCUCUAAAUAUAUAAAAAAAACUAUUAUUAAUAUAAAAAUCAACCUUAAUAGUUGUAAUUUUAGACUAACUACUUCAAAGUAACAAUUUAAUCAUAUUUUAUAACUUAAAUCUAAUAACGUAGCCUUCACCACAUUGUAUAAUAAAUUAUACAUUAAUUAUAUGUAUGCAUUAUUUUCAGAUAGUAGCCAAACCACAAUACAACAAUAUAGUUUGCAACAUUAAAAAAUUGAGUAUUGUGGAACACACUAUGGUAUCGUAAUCAAGCCGUUGUCAUGAUGUAAUAUGGCUAACAAGUAAAAGGGUGAAGAAAAUAUCAUGUUUUGAGGAUCUCACUUCAAAAAUAUUGUAGCAAAUUAUCUUGGAAAAAUAGAUAUUAGUCAAAGGGUAGAAAAAUUAAAGAUGCUAAUACUACCUUUUUACAAAUUAUGCUUCUAUUUACUUUUUAAGGCCAUAAAUAAGACAAAACAAGGUAGAUUAGAAAAAUGAAGGAUAUAAGCAUAUGUAGGGAAGAGUUAGAAGUGCAAAUUAGUAAAAAUUACCUCAAGAAAACAAAAGUUGAUACCCGAAGAAGACCGGUUAUGAACCUGGGUCGAAAUCAGACCCCGAGGCACAAAACCAUGCUUUGACGGCGACUAAAGGGUUAUUUGGGAGAUCGAAGAGCAGAAUUAGAGAGAAGACUUGUGGAAGGAUUUUUAAGAGGUGAUUUCGUGUCAUUUGAAUGAGUAUUGGAUUUUUGAGGGAUUUUCAAAGCGAGUGAUAUUCUUUGCAAAUUCAGAUCUUUGAGAAAUAAAACCGGUUUACAAAUUUUUGGAUUUCGUGACUUUUGUAGCAUUUUUAUGGGUGAAAAUUUAGAAACUUAUUCGUAUGCUUGUUGUGAAUCUGUAUAAGAGAUUUGAGGUCAAUCGAAUGGCCAGAUCGAUACACAUGAAGGUUUUUAUGGGCUAAGGUCUCAGGAUUUAGGGUUUUUAAGACUAGUAAGGUUUUCUUAGAUAUCUAGCAAUCUGCUAAUUGGAUUGGAGAGAUUUUUGGUUUUAUCAGUAGAAGACUUGAUUUCCUACAAGAAAGUGAAAUUUGGAAGCAAUCGAACAGUGGAAAAGGGAGAUAUCAGCGUUGGAAGUUGGCAUCAAGAUUGGAGAAGGAGAGACCAGCUGACAUCCAAGCGGAAUUUUGAGGUCAUCGACUAAUUGGUAAGUGCGAUUUUCUUCAAAAUUUUUAUGCUAGUUUUUUACUUAAACUCCAAGAAGUAUGCAAAUUUUUAGUUAGAAUCAACGGUUCAAUAUUUAGUUAUUUAAUUUUCAAAUCUAUGAAUAGGGUUUGGUUUGGGUUAGGAUUUGAUUAGGGUUUAGGGUUAGGGUUUGGUUAGGAUUUGGUUUAGGAUUUGCUAGGGUUAGGAUAUGGUUUAGGAUUUGAUUUAGGAUUUAGGAUUUAGGAUUUGGUUUAGGAUUUGGAUUAGGAUUCGAAUUAGGAUUUAGGGUUUAGUUCAAGAUUUGGUUAAGGAUUGGUUUAAGAUUUAAGGUUUGAUUAAAGUUUGAUUAGGAUUUGGUUUAGGAUUUAGGAUUUAGGAUUUGGUUUAGGAUUUGAUUUAGGUUUUAGGAUUUGGAUUAGGAUUUGAAUUAGGAUUUAAGGUUUGAUUUAGGAUUUGGUUAGGGAUUGGUUUAAGGUUUAGGAUUUGAUUAAGGUUUGAUUAGGAUUUGAUUUAGGAUUUAGGGUUUUUCUAGGAUUUGAUUAAGGUUGGAUUAGGAUUAGGAAUUGGUUAGAAUUUAAGGUUUUAUUAGAUUUUUGUUAGGGUUUGACUAAGUUUUCUUUAAUAUUCUUUUAUAUUUCUUUAGGAUUUCCUUGUGUUUCUUUUAUAACUUCAAUAAAAUUUAAUUGAGCUUGCUUAAUGUUUGAUUAUGAUUGUUAACGUUUAAUUAUAAAUUCUCUAUAAUCCUAUUGGAUUGUUAGGACCUUUUGUUGCAAUUUUCUUUUACCUUCUUGUAGAAUAAGUAGUUAUUUUCAGAAUGUAGAUAUCUAGUGUAUAGUGUAAACAGGAAUAGAUAACUAUUGAAAAGGUGGUUCAGCAUGUAGAAUGGAUGAAUAGUCAAGAAAAGUAGUUAUCAUCCAUAAUAUAGGAGUUAGUAUCUCGAGGAUGGGAGAGAAGAAGAAAAUGCCAGACUGUGAUAGUCAUGAGCCGGGAUAAGCUUGGUGCUAUCUCUUCUUCUUAAUUUUUUUGUUUCUUUUGUGUUAGUGUUGAUUCUAGUGAAGAGAAUCAAUUUAAUGAAUCAAUGUUUGAUUUACAAAGUUGUUUAUGGAUCACUAUUUAUCAAUUGUUGUGAAAGAUUGAUGAUGUAUGGAAGUUUCCAGUCACUGUUUAUCACAAGGUUGUAAGUCAGUGGAGAGGAAUUGUAAUCAAAGGAAUUGUCUCGAUCAGAUUCUAUGGAUUGGAAGUUGUUCGUUCUAGGGUUUGGGUUAUGCUUGUGUGUUUGUAAAUUACAUAAGGUAUUGAAAUUGAUGUCGUGGUUGUUAUCGUAUUGAUAUGAGAGAGUGGACAGUAGGAAGAAAAGUUAAGUGUUCUUCGGUAUUGUAAGCAUUCAAUAAUAGUGGUUAAUUGUGUGACCCUAAAAAUUGGAGCUCAUAUACAUGGUCUUUCCUUGUGUUUGAAUUCUCCUAUAUGGGUUUAUUCUGGGAGGUUUCUUCCGAAAUAAGUAAAACGACAAUCACAUUUUGGCGCCACUGUCGGAGAUUGAUAACAUUAUUGAGUGUUAGGAAUUAAUUGCUGAAGCAGUAAAGGAGAUUAGGAAGCAAACUCAAUAGAAAUAAUAAAAGAGUAUGGUUAUUAAGAAUGAGAAUUUAACAGCAAAGAGAAUAAAGCAUUUAAAGGAAAGAAUCUAGAGAUUGCAAGCAAGAAAUUUGUUGCGUAACGAGCAAGAUCACAAAUUGAAAAAGAAGCAUUGACAAAGUUAGAUUAAGCCGUGGUUGCAUGCCUGUCAGCAUAUUCGAUUGUACCCAGAAGACGAUCGACCUCUAAUAUUUUAGAAGUACAUACCGUUAAAAAAAUUAUCAAGAGCACUCACAAAGAGCGUUGCUAAUAGUCCAGCAUAUCUCUCAAGCCGUUAAAGGAAAGCGUGGAAGGUACAGAGGAAUUAGGUACCCCAUUGGAUAUUUUCUCAAUUCAAGAUACGUUCGAUUCUAACAAGACUGAUUCUGAAGGUUGGCAUAAAUCACUUGCCAAUAAAGACCAAUUCAGAGUAUAUCAAAACCCGUCAUUUUUACCUCAUAUUCAACCAAUAAAAUUAUUUGGAGAUAAUAAUAGUCAAUCGAGAAGGCAUGGAAGUCCAAAAAAGACUUUUGCGGGAGAUAGUUUUUAUUUUAGUAAAGAAUUGAGCAGAGCACUUGCAUCUUUAAUGGCAUCCGGUGGUCCAGCAGUUCCAAUCGCAAUAGAAAUGGGUGCGAUGGGAGAUCGCACAACUAGCGUGGCUCCAUUACCUACUUUUAGAGGUUUACCAGGAGCCGGUCUAGAUCAAUAUUUAUCACAAUUCUUGACUACAUGUAUAGCCAAUAAUAGCAGAACUGAAGAUAUUUGGUUAAGAUGGCUGCCAGCAACAUUAAAGGACACAGCAUUUGAGUGGUUUAACCGCCAACCUGUGGGACAAUUUAUCAAUUGGGAGGCAUUGAAAAAUACAUUUUUAGCCCAUUUUUGACCAAUUGGUUUUGAAGAAUGUCUUAGAAAAAAAUUAAUGAACAGCAAAAUGGUACCAUGGGAAGCGGUGUAGUCAUAUUAUGGUCGUGCAAUAGAUAUACUUCGAAAAUGGCCAAAUAACCAAAUGUUGGAAUCGUUUGUGUUGUCCAUAUUGAUUAAUAGACUACAUCCACCAGAAUUGAAGAUGUUUGUAAAGGAAGCCAAAUUAGCCACCAUUGCAUCAUCUCUUGAGCAAGUAAAAGUAUGAAAGGAAUGUCACCAAGACCAAAAAUUAACAAUUGGAGCCACGAUGAUUCGAUCUCAAGGAGGUUAUCAAAUGACAAAUUGAAAUGACGCAUCGGAAAGUUAUCUGGGAAGAAAUGAUUAUGGUACAAUUCCACAGGGAAUAGUGGAUGCGGUUCCAUUAUAGGUUGUACCACCAUCAUCAUCACACCUGUAUAUGCCUUAUUUUGUGUAUCAAAAACCAAUACCUAUGAAGGAAUUGCCAAAUGUAUUGGUAUCAAGGGAUCCCAAUGAGUCAUUGCUGUUAACAUUGACAAAAAAAAUGGAUGAAUUGGCUGUGAAUCUGGCCAAGGACAAGGAAAAGAGGCAUAAACCAACCAAUAUGCAUCCCUAUGUCUGGUGUAGCAAUUGUAAGGGGUAAGGUCAUUUAGUAACAGAAUGUCAUUCACCACCCCAAAUGAUUAUAUAAUGUACCUUUUGCGGGGGCAAGCAUAUUACCACCAACUGUUGGAAUUUACGGAAGCAACAACAACUCAGUAAUCAGAUAAUGAUUCAACUAACUUCGCGGCAUGUCAAUCAAGUCCAAACGAAUAAUAGAUUUGGCAGGAACGAAAAUCGAGCAAAUAAACAAAACAGGAAUUAUUCCAGUUUUUUAAACUCCAAAUUUCACCAAGAAGGUGUAUCUAAUACUCACAAAUUGGCGAUGAACCAACAAGAAUACCAUCAAUAUCCAUCCAUGACGAAGCCAAUGCCAGGGUCUACAAUACCAAUGGAUCAACCAGGAUCCUUUACUCAUCCGACAUGGAACAGACCUAGUCGUUAUAUAUCAAUAGAGACACCCAAUAUUCCUGAAGGAGUUAGCAGGAAACCACUUCAUUGCUAUCGUUGCAGACAUAUCAGACAUUAUGCGAGUGAAUGUCCUAAUCCAAAGGCCAGUGAUGACUAUGCUCCAAUAUGUGGAAAUUGUAAGCAAUCUAGUCACACUUAUCAACAGUGCAAUGUGUCCUUUAAUUAUAAUAAUCGAGACCAGCAAAUACAAACAAGCCAACUAGCGGAAGACAAAGGUCCUGUUCAACGAGACUCACCAGCACAUCAUGUUGAGGUGGUGAACGUAGUGCUUAUCAGAGGCCAACAAAAAGACAAGAAUCUAAUUCAGGACAUGAAUGAACGAAUCGUAGGAGAGCAAGUAGCCCCAUCCAUGGGACUAAACAAACCAAUAUCAGUAUUGGGACAUAUCCCAAUAUUGAGACCUCAACAGACUGAAGAACCUAAUUUGGUUUCACGUGCCAAUUUAUUGGGACUAUCAAGAUGGAUCCCAACUGACCAAGUACCAAUACCUGUAUAACCCAAUAAAAGAUCUUACUUAUUAAAGGAACCUUUAGUGAUAGAAAAGUUGGCAAAGUUACUAACGACAAUCUCAAUCGCUAGGAAGGAAUUGUUGCCGAAUGGAGUAAAAUCAAAACCAAUGAAAUACAAAAGAGCAUUGGAAAUUACUCUCAAUAUGGAACCCUACAACAUUCUAAAGGAUUUGGAUGUUAUUUUGCCUUCAAUUACAAUGAAGCAACUUUUGGCUGUAGUACUGGAAUGUCAAUCUACAUUGAAUUCAGCGUUAAUACGACGAAGAUCUUGCACUAAAGAAAUUCAUGAAAUUAGCUUAAACCCAGAUCCGAGAGCACCAACAAUCGAUGUAUUAAUCAAUGGCAUUUUAAUUCCAGGGGUACAAGUCGAUGGUGGUUCCAGUGUGAAUUUAAUGAAUGUAGAUACAAUAGAGGACUUGAAUCUAAAAGAAUUGCUACCUACAACAUUGGUCUUACGAAUGGCAGAUCAUAAUCGAGUAAAGCCAAUGGGAAUCUUACAUAAUAUUACCACUAUAAUCGUGGGAUUGACAUACAAAAUCGAUUAUAUUGUAUUCUGAUUACAAAGUUCUAUGUUAUCGUAUCCUAUUUUAUUGGGCAGACCUUGGCUUUAUCAAGCCAAAGCUAAAAACGAUUGGGGCCGAGGCACAUUGACAAUUGGAAAAGACCAUGACCAGAUUGUUUUACAGAUGUAUCCGAUACAAUAUCAUAGAAAAUCUCAAUUGCCAGAAACAAAAUUUACAUCACACAACGAGAGUCAAUUGAUUGAGGAAGAUGAUGAUGCUAUAGGUUCACUGCAAUUUGGAGUAGGACAAAACACUUCAACAGCAAAGGUAGGAGUCUAUCAAUGUGGAGGUCUCGACGAAUAUUUACUACAUUAGGAGGAUGCGACUAACUCGGAUCAUGCUAUUGCCAAAUGGAUGAAUAAUCUUGCAAUUAAUAGAGUCAGCACAUUAGAAUCAAAAUUGGAUAGUUCUCAUAUGUCGGAUAAUAUAAGAUAUUCAGAUCAGGAGAAGACAAUUAAAUCAGAGGUGGUAAAAGACCUUGUGUGUCAAUCCAUUAAUUUGGGCAUCAACGAAAUGCCACACCUAAUUAAAAUAUAUGUCGAUAUUAUAGGUAUAAAAUUGGAUGCUUGAAAACAAUUUUUUGUCCGUGACAAAUUUGCCUUUGCGUGGUCGUAUGCGGAUUUGAAAGGAAUUCUAGCCGACGUCUGUGAGUACCAGAUUAUUUUGGAGGAAGAUAUUAUGCCAGUUCAUCAAAGACAACACCGGCUUAACCCAAAAUAUUUCCUUUUAGUGAAAGAAGAAUUGGAUAAACUUCUCGACCUUGGUUUUAUUUAUCUUGUUUUGCAUAGUGCAUGGGUGUCGUCAAUCGUGAUGGUACUGAAGAAGAAUGAGAAAAUCAAGAUAUGUCACGAUUUUUGAAAGUUAAAUGCAGCUACUAAGAAGGACUAUUUUCCAUUACCAUUUAUAGAUAGUAUUUUGGACGCAAUCAUCGGACAUGAAUGUUACUUAUUUUUGGACGGAUUUUUGGAAUAUAAUCAAAUUAAAAUUAUCGAAGAGGACCAGUUGAAGACUACGUUUACCACAAAUUGGGGUACAUUCGCCUAUAAAGUAAUGUCAUUUGGGUUAUGUAAUGCCCUGGCUACUUUUCAACGCGUAAUGACACAAGCGUUUGAAGAUUACCUACGUUUAUCAAUGGAGAUAUUUCUGGACGAUUUCUGCACAUUUAGCACAACGAUUGAACAUCUAGCAUGUCUAGAUAACUGUUUGAAUCAAUGCGACAAGUAUGGAAUAUCUCUAAAUUCGGAGAAGUGUUAAUUUGGCGUACCAUCGAGGAAGCUAUUGGGACACAUUGUCUCUGUUGAAGGUAUCGCUAUGGACCUUGAUAAAGUUACCUGUAUAUUGCGUUUAUCAAAGCCAGAUACGGUAUCGGGCAUGCGUUGUUUCAUCGGCCAUGUCAGCUACUAUCGGUAUUUUAUUGAAUCCUUUGCGGUUAUCUGUCAACCAUUAACCAACUUAUUAAAGAAACCCUUGUCAGGCGGAUCUAGCCCAAUAUGGACUGAAGACUGUACCCACGCAUUUGACGAAUUGAAACGAAAAUUGAUAUCUGUCCCAAUUCUUGUAAUACCUUGUUGGACAAAAUCAUUUUAUAUCUAUGUGGACGCAUCCAAUGUUGCUAUUGGAUCCAUUCUCAGUCAAAAGGAUGAAAAAAGAUUAGAUCAUCCCAUAUAUUAUGCAAGCCGAUAAUUCGUUGCUGUAGAAUGAAAUUAUAAUACUAUCAAGCGAGAAGCCCUCAGAAUGAUCUACUCUGUACAAAAAUUCUGCCACUAUCUACUUGGAUACCCAUUUGUGUUCCAUGUUGAUUAUGAUGCGCUUAAGUACAUGAUAAAUAAACCUCAAUUGAGUGGACAAAUUGCUCGAUGGAUGUUACUUCUCCAGGAAUUCAACUUUAUGAUUAAUGUUUGACCCGACAAGAAAUAUGCCAAUACAAAUCACUUACCCCAUUUAUCUAAUAUAUUGGAUAAUGAGUAGAUAAAUGAUGCUCUUUUGGAUGCACAACUAUUCGCUGUGGAUGUCAUUACAUCCGAAUAUGGUGAAUUGAUGCAAUAUCUAAUGUUUCAGACUUUUUCAAUUUCAUAUAAUAAAAAAUUAAAGAAACGUCUGAUUUUAAAAAGUGUGUCAUAUACCAUGAUUGGAGAUGCCUUGUACAAACAAGGGUGGGAUGGAAUUUUAUGCCGUUGCAUCUUUCAAAGUGAAGUUCGUACAAUUUUGGAAGGAUGUCAUUUGGAAAAUUGUGGAGGACAUUUUGCGGGUGAUAGCAUCGCACGUAAGGCUUUAAUGGCUGGAUAUUGGUGGCCAACAAUGUUUUCAGAUGCACACCAAUAUGUUCGUUGUUGUGAUCCUUGCCAACGAAUUGGUCGCCCUACUGGAACUUCUGCAAUGCCAUUGGUACCAAUUUUGGCACAGGCACCAUUCGAAAAAUGGGGUAUUGACUUUGUAGGACCCAUUGCACUUGCCUCUCGAAAUGGACAUAAACAUUAUAUUCUAGUAGCCACCGAUUAUGUCACCAAAUAGGCGGAGGCCAUGGCAACGAAUAUUGAUAAUACCAAUAUUGUAGCAACAUUUUUAUAUGAGAAUAUUAUCACUCGUUUUGGCUGUCCGAAAGAAUUGGUUAGUGAUCGUGGCAUACAUUUUUUUAAUACAAAAAUUGAAGCAUUAACAGUGAAGUAUGAGAUCAAGUACCACAAAAUUAUACCUUAUCAUCCACGAGUCAAUGGGCAAACAGAAAAGACCAAUGGUAUCCUAUGUAAGAUCUUAACAAAGACUAUUUUAGGAGCGAAAACCGAUUGGGAUACUAAAUUGUUUGCAACUUUAUGGACGUACCAUACUGCAUAUAAAGUAACUACCAAUUCUAUCCUAUUUCAAUUGGUAUACGGUCAGGAGGCAAUUCUACCAAUUGAAUUAGAGGUCCAAAGUUUACGAAUUGCGUUGGAUGAACGUAUGGAAGACAGAGAAUCUCUUCAAUAUAGGUUAGUCCAAUUGUAGAAAUUGGAUGAAGCUAGGGCUACGGCUCUCUUGAUCAUCGAAGCUACAUAGCACCGCAAAAAGAGUUAUUACGAUAGUAAGUUAUGGCCAAAAUAUUUUAUGCCUAAUGAUCUGGUGCUACUUUAUGAUAGCCGCUUUAACAACUUUCCCUGUAAAUUUCAAGUACGAUGGCAUGGGCCAUAUCGGGUGGUGGAAGGUUUCUCUAAUGGUUCAGUUCAAUUGGAAGAUUUUCUGGGAACCCACUUCACAACACACGUUAAUGGGAAUCGGUUACAUCUGUAUUAUACGUAAACCUGGGACGGAUUUACUCAGUGGAAGGAGGGAGUCUCCGUAAUAAUGAUUACCUGACAAGAUUGAAAAGGUUAUGAUAGCUAAAAAACGAUUGAUGGUUAGUUUUGGGUACUAAAACUGACUAGUCAGGAAAUUAGACAUUCUUGAUUAGACGUGAGAUUAAGGUACAUUGGAUUAGAUGUUCUUGAUUUGGACCCCGAGUAAGCAAUUAGGAGCGAGGCACUCAUAGAAGGUUUCAUUGUUGUAAAUUUUAGACAUUGUACUUUGAACUGUAAGCUUUACGAUAGUAAUCAGCAAUAGUGUUAGCACGAGGAAGUAUUGAAAGUUUGAUUUUUACAAUGUCAAUGGAAAGAGCAAAGUGUGUAUUGGAAUGAUCGAAAAGUCACCUCAAUGUGAGGUCUAAGUGCGAUCUGGGAUCCCCGUCUCUUGUAGUUAUCACCAACAUGGAACCGAUGAAGUUGGACAUCUGUUGUUUAUUGAAAAGGAAAAAUGAUUUUAGAAAUGUAUAGUUAUUUACGUUUUUGCGAGGAUCCGAUAAACUACCACCAAUUGAUGUAAAACGAGUGGCAGAAUAUAUAGAAAAUUAUGAUCUACAUGAUGGUUUGAGUGUAGUAAGACGAGUCCUGAUUGGGAUAGAUGAGAAUAUCUUACACAAGGUCUUGCAUUUACCAACCGGAGAGCUUGAGGUGGGGGGAGACGCAUCAAAUGACUUCAAGCCAAGAAGCUACUUCAAAGGAGGAAUGUCGUCUAUCGAGCAAAAUCAAGGAUAGAAGGUAUAGGAGGCACUUAUGCCCGAACUUAUGGAAUAGAUGCGGUUUGUUCACAAGCGAUUAGCAUUGAAUCCGCAUAUCACCUACAUGGCAAAGCGAUUACUGUUUUCCGUGAUAGGAAUACUGGAAGGCAUGGUAUUCAAUUAAGCAGCUUAUGUGGCCACAAGGAUACAUGCAGAAAUGGGACCUAAGCGGAAGACGAGAAAGUUUGCUUCAUUAUUAUGUUCCAAUUAUGUAAACUCAGUGAUUGAGUAUACAUUAAAACAGGAAUCUCAACCAGUAGUUCCAAGUUUACAAACGGGAAAAAUUAGUGUAGGGGUAAUAGUGUAUGAAGUAGGAGAAUCCAGCAAAGCGACAGAACAAGAAGCAAGACCAAUAUCUACAGUAGAGCGAGUUUUCAUUUGGCCAACAAUAGUGAUGACGACACCAAUAUCAGUUCCAAGGAAAAGCAACCAAUUAGGAUUUCAAUGGGAUGUAAUGGAAGGGUAGAAUCUUAAGGAAGUUAUAUUGGGUCAAAUUUCCCAAUUGCAACUUAUAGUGAAUAAGCUCAAAGAUGAGGGUAGCUUAAAAAAGUAAGUGGAAGCGAGCAAGAAAAUAAUAUUGGAGCAAAAUUGCAAAAUCAAGGAACAGGAAUAAGUCAAGAAAGUAGAAUCGGAAUCCAAGAUGCGAGUGAAGCCUGAAUUGGAUGAGAGAGUGGAAAAUUGGUCAAAGGAGAAACAAAGGAUUCAGCAUAUCCUGGAAAAUCAAAAGCAAGAAUUACUAAAAACUUACAAAUUGUAUAGAUUGGAACAAGAGAAGAUGAACGCUCAGUUGAAGAUGGAAUGAGAGAAGGAGGCAUUGGAGCUUGAAAAGAAACAAUUGGGUGACCAAUAUCGAAACAAAACGGAUGAGCUACAAGCAGACAUCGUUGUUUUGAAGGAAACAGUAACAAAAUUGGAGAGUGAUUUGGUCAAUAUUGGUUAGUCACAGACAUCUGCCUCAACGAGAGUAAGAAUUAGAAAAUUGGAGGAGAAAUUGCAACAGCAACAACAACUGGAAGCUAAAGAUGCCAGAAUACUCCAAUUGGAAGCUCAAGUUCAAAAAUUGGGAGUAUACAAUGAAGAUUUAAUAGCUCAAUUAAGGACAGAGAUUUAGGACGAGUCGGAUGUAGAAGAAAAAGUGUUGAAACAAGACCAAAUAGAGCGAGCGCCAAGAAUUGAAGAAAUUGAACAAUCCAGUUAAAAAAAAAAAAAAAAAAAAAAAAAAAAAAAAAAAUGGUUUCUGUUUAUCAAUACUGUGUUUGCGGGGACACUGCACGGUUAGGAGUGGAGCUAUGUAGAAUAAGUAGUUAUUUUUAGAAUGUAGAUAUCUAGUGUAUAGUAUAAACAGGGAUAGAUAACUAUUGAAAAGGUGGUUUAGUAUGUAGAAUGGAUGAAUAGUCAAGAAAAGUAGUUAUCAUCCGUAGUAUAGGAGUUGGUAUCUCGGGGUAGUAUAAGGAGGAUGGGAGAGAGGAAGAAAAUGCCAGACUGUGAUAGUCAUGAGCCGGGAUAAGCUUGGUGCUAUCUCUUCUUCAUAAUUGUUUCUUUUGUGUUAGUGUUGAUUCUAGUGAAGAGAAUCAAUUUAAUGAAUCAAUAUUUGAUUUACGAAGUUGUUUAUGGAUCACUAUUUAUCAAUUGUUGUGAAAGAUUGAUGAUGUAUAGAAGUUUCCAGUCACUGUUUAUCGCAAGGUUGUGAAUCAAUGGAGAGGAAUUGUAAUCAAAGGAAUUGUCUCGAUCAGAUUCUGUGGAUUGGAAGUUGUUCGUUCUAGGGUUUGGGUUAUGCUUAUGUGUUCAUGAAUUACACAAGGUAUUGAAAUUGAUGUCGUGGUUGUUAUCGUAUUGAUAUGAAAGAGUGGACAGUAGGAAGAAAAGUUAAGUAUUCUUCAAUAUUGUAAGCAUUCAGCAAUAGCGGUUAAUUAUGUGACCCUAACAAUUGGAGCUCAUAUACAUGGUCUUUCCUUGUGUUUGAAUUCUCUUAUGUGGGUUUAUUCUGGGAGGUUUCUUUCGGAAUAAGUAAAACGACAAUCACACUUCCACAACCAGGUGCUCGGUGCAUUCUCAAGCAAGACUUCACGUAAUACGAUAUUGUAAUAAUAUGGUGUGAUUUUAAAAAAAUAGAUAAUAUUGAUUACAUGUUUUGGGCAUUGAUAAUGAUUCUACCGCUAAAGCCACUACUAUCAUAUAAUUCAACAAAACUAUCGUUGUCCUCAAUGACAUCAUUUAGAUUCAAUUCUACAAUGGUGAUUGCAAUGCGACCUCUUCCUGAGCCAAUAAGGUCCAAGUUCUUUUCUUUUAUGGUGCCAUCUCAACUACCAUGGCUCUAUUGGAUAAUAAAUGUUUUCAACAAGUAUAUUUUCUUGCAUCCAAGUAAAAAUCAAGGUAAGUUUUUCAAUAGUUGAAAAGUAUAGAAAGGAUCAUACCAAAUUUUAUACUGCAUAUAAUUUAGAUCCUAAUUGUAUUUGAAAAAUGUGUAGUCAUGAUAAUUUAUUAUAUUCAAGCAUAGGUUUUAUAUUAUUAUAAAAAUAAGAUAUAUUUACUAUUAUUAAAAAUAUAUGGAUAUUUUUUAUAUUUCAACAUAUUUGAGAGAUAUAAUUGAGGGAUAUAUAUGAUAUUAAUCCAAUAAAAACUUAACUUGUAUUUAAUUUCUUUAAAAUCAUUUUUUUGAUUUCAAUGGCAACUCUACUUUAAUUUGAAUUUAAUCAAGUCUAGUGGAAGAGAAAGUUUUGAUCCUAUUGGCAUAGAGGUCAAGUAUCCAAGUCUUUCUCCUAAUAUUAAGGUUUUAAGGGUCAAGCCAAAUAUUAAUUUUGCAUUCCCAAAAUGAUAGUCUUUCAGCUUUGGCACGACAUUUGGAAGGCAUACUAGUAACAUCUAGCAAGCAACUAUCAUUGACAAGGGCUAAAUCCUAGACAAACAUGGAAACACUAGGACAAACGUAAUGGAAGGACGUAGAGAAGGAAUUCCUCCUUGAAGUUAUGGAAUUGCAUUUGUGAACAAUCUUAAGAUGAAAAGUGACAAGAAGCUUAGAGUUGUAGUCAGUAAGUUUGAAGAAUUAUAGUCUGUAAGUUUGUAGUUUGUUUUUUAUAGCCAAUAUGUUAAUAAGAUUAUAAAUAAUAUGAAAAUAAAUGUAUAUAUGAAGAUUGAUUUUGUUUUGAAAUCAAUUCAUGGGAAUUCUACUUGUAGGAAUUAACUUAAUUAUUUAUUUUCAAGAUGUUUUACAUGUGGUGGCAUGCUUGAUUUUAUUUUUGGUAUAUAUCAAUUUUUAUAU
rnacentral:lncRNA from 1 species